CUCCCUUCCGGUUGAGCGCACGCUGGCGCAUCUGGAUGCCGCUGCUCUCCCUUCUCUCUUCUUGUAUCGGUCCUUUGCUUUAUUAGUCUUCAUUACGUCUACUAAGUGUUUUAAGUUUCCGUUUUAUGUACUUUGUCGCAUCACUCGUGUCUUCUUCAUAUUUUUAUUUAUUGCAGGAACACUACCAAGUUUCCAAAUCGCGUUUGAUCAGUUUUGACAAAGCCCUCCUACCCCCCACUUGCUGCCUGCUCUGCACCCCGACUGCAGCACCUCUGGCCGCCGCCAGCCCCCUGCUGUCCUCCCCGGAUUCGAGACCUACCCGCCUUCUCCGCCGACACAUGACUGUUUCUGAUCACCGGCCUUUCCCGGCCUAGCGUACCCGCAACACUGCACUCCUGUAUCAUCACUUCGUAAAUCACUUCGUAUUGCUGCCUAAGCGUUGCUCCGGUCCUUUCUGGUCCUUCUUGUUACGAUGCUGCUGCUUCUGCACCCAGAUGGCGGCUACUGCCUCGGAUUCCCUGUCUUGCGUCUCUACCUGCUUGCCUGUGCUCCUGUCCAUCUGCCCGCAGCUGGCCCUCUACCGGCACCCCUCCAACCAACUCCAUCGGGCCUGCUUGGAAUAACUCGGUCUCAUCUGUGCAAGGACAAGCGCUGACUAGUAGGCUACUUCAGGAGGACAUGUUUUGGACACAACACAAAGAAUCCAUCGCCUUCCAGCCUUGACCCACCAGAAGUAUGGCCUAACUGACCCAGCACCUUCGUGGAUCCUGCUUUCCUGCAGGCAAGUGAACGUCCAACAACCUUUCCAGAGUACGUCUAUGGUGCAGUUCUGUACACGGUAGAGAUGCUAUGUCAAAUGCCUUGAAAGCUACUUUAUUACUCAAAGGAAACCAAAUUUUGGAUAUUCUGUGUGCAUUUAGAAUAUCCAUAACUGAUUAUUCUGAGUGACGGCUUGACAAUCCCAAUUUAUGCUGGCUUGCUGGGAUAUAUUAAGCUUGUUAACACUUGACACAAAAAAGUUCAGAUGUACAUCUUCUGAACACCAGUGAGAGUAAAUAAUACUGUAAAAUGGCAUGUUAACAAUCUUGUGUUGAGAGAUUUGACAGCAAAGAAAUGUAUAAAAGAGCAAUAAAGUAAACGUUACACGCAUCGGAAGACUUAGUUCAGAUAACAUUGCUAUAGCUUUGGUAAUUUAUAGCCAGAUUGAUAUUGCAUGGAUAAAAAAUUCUACUCUUUUUUAUUAUUUGAAAGGUUAAGUGCUGGUAUCUUUGAAUCUUGGGAUCUUUGUCCAAAUCUUUUGAUAUGUUGUGUGCCAGUAGAAUAUUGCUUUACUCUGUCAUCAGUCUUGACAUUGUUUGAGCAUCCAUGUUUCACUUCCUUCACGCUUACCUGUAACAGUCAUCUUGUGCACUGAUAAUUACUGCCAUCCAUAAUUUUAUAUUCUAUGCUUAUUGAUAAAUGGUUGCUGAACUCCAAGUACCUGCAGGGACACCUGGAGGGUAAGUCCUCAAAGUUGACAGUCCAGAUGAUCAUGUGCUUAAUUAUUUUUUUGGGCCACACACAGAGGAAACCCGAGGGAGACAAAAAAGAUUUUAUGACUAGCAUUACCAUAAUCAGCCAGUGCCAUAAUACAGUUUCUGAAAAAAAUCUCCUUAGUUUACAUUUUAUUAUUUCUGAAUGCAUGUCCAGGAUUUUCUUUUAUUGGCUGAUUGCUUCUGUUCCCACUCAACUACUCAUCAAAUGACAUUAAGCCAAAUGAGUUGUUGCCAUUUCUCAACUGGCAAGUUUCUUUUUUUGUAAUGUUUACUGCCUGAAGUGUAUUGAUAUCUAGGAUGGUUGUUUGGCACAGUUAUAUUAAAAUGAUGAAAAUAUUUUUUACCCAUGGUGCAUUGUGAAUGUCAGCACCACAGACCUCAAGUGUUGGCCAGGCCUUUGUUGUGCAUUGAGGACCUCACAGAUCUCAUGCUCACAUGCCAACUCAAACAAAUCUCACUCCUUUGUGUUAAAACAACUGUACUGGAUUUUCAGAGGCUUGGGCAGUGAAUUUAGUAUAUAAAAAAAAAAAAGGAAAAUUGUGGCAAAAACACCCCCCACAUCCCCUCUGGACCCACUGGCCCCUCAUCAACAGUCCCUCUACCCCACGCGUUUUGGAUUUUGGAAACUUGUGGUCCGUGCAUCACAGAUGGGAGCGCUGUUUCACCAAAAAUCUGUUUUGUGACACUGCGCGCUUCCUCAUGGCAGGCCUCCACCACCCACAGCAGUUGCCAGCUGUUUGAGUGUCUUGGUCGAUAUUUCCAUUGAGCAUUGUUAAAACUGCUGUAUUUAGCCAAUGUACUGCAGCAUCAUGACAAAUGUGUGUUGUGAAUGUUGUCUCAACAUACAGCACAGAGACAUGGGUGGGUUGAAAAAAAAGGUUUUUUAUGGAAGUACAACAUGGGGUAAAAUAUGUAAUAUCUUAAGAAAUUGUAUUAUGGAUGUUGCCCAAGCUGGAUGUUUUUCUUCUGAAAUGUACAGUGGCUAUCUGAGACCUUUGAAACAUUUAAAAUACAAAUUUUCACUUUUGCAUUAUAAGGAUCAGCCUUACCAUGUGGCUCCAACAUCACCACAGGCAAAUCGUGAAAAAAAAGAAAUUUUUUUUUUUCUUUUGCUAUGAAUGCUUCUAUGUGCAUUAGUAUAUUUAUGCACUGUACAUACUGUAUGUUGGACAUCAUCAUUAAGACGCUAUCAUAGUUAUUUUAAUAUGGUUAUUUUAAAAAUAUGGUUAUUUUAAUAUGGAGUCUUUUAUGUACCCUUAUGUUAGAUGCAUGGAUAGGUAGAAAUUAAGUUCCUCUCUGAAAAGAGAUUACAAAUAUGCAGGUCCUGGUACUAACAGUAAUGCACUAUGAAAUUUCAUCUAAACAGCUCCCCUUUGCCCAGGAAGGUUUUCCCUUUGAAUUUGUUUCAGCUGAGUAAAAUGAAAAUGGUUUCACUGGCACCUACAUAAUAGAUCUUGCAAGCAAAAAAUGAAAAUAUUUGACAAAAACUGAUGAUACAUUUUUUUAAAUCAUGUUGCAGGACUUGAAUAACUUA